CCUACGGGUGGCAGCAGUGGGGGAUAUUGCACAAUGGGGGGAACCCUGAUGCAGCGACGCCGCGUGGGUGAAGGAGCGUUUCGGCGCGUAAAGCCCUAUCGGCAGGGAAGAAGGAGGACGGUACCUGAGUAAGAAGCCCCGGCUAACUACGUGCCAGCAGCCGCGGUAAUACGUAGGGGGCAAGCGUUAUCCGGAUUUACUGGGUGGAAAGGGAGCGUAGACGGCAGUGCAAGUCUGGAGUGAAAGGCGGGGGCUCAACCCCCGGACUGCUCUGGAAACUGUACGGCUGGAGUGCAGGAGAGGUAAGUGGAAUUCCUAGUGUAGCGGUGAAAUGCGUAGAUAUUAGGAGGAACACCAGUGGCGAAGGCGGCUUACUGGACUGUAACUGACGUUGAGGCUCGAAAGCGUGGGGAGCAAACAGGAUUAGAUACCCGAGUAGUC
rnacentral:rRNA from 1 species